ensembl:lncRNA
UCCUCUGUCUGGGCCCCGCCCACUCUGGCCACGUGACUCACUUCAACCAAUACAGCAGCGCACAAGGGAUGCUGCGCCAAUUCUGGGGCUAAGCCUUCCUUAAAGGUGUUUUUGCACUUUGGGGAACCCUGAGCUGCCAUGUUAAAAGUCCAGCUACCUGGAGAGAUGCCAUGAAGAGGUCACGUUGAGCGGGAGAAGCCCUGAGGCUACACAGGGAGAGAAGGAGAGACAGACGGACAGAGAGAGAAGAGAGGCAGGGAGCCCCCGCGGAGCCCUCUCCAUCACUCCAGUUGUCCCAGCCUUGGGACAGGGGUUGCUGACCCAGAGCCUCCGUUCUGAAUGACCUGAAGCUCACGAUACACAAAUUCCCACUCGACGAGCGUCUUUUCUGCAGAGAGCUCCUUUCAGAGGGUACUGAAGGUCAGCGGCUGCAGUAGCACGUGACUCAUCCUUAUAGAGGGAGAUGUGUGCUCAGCCGCUCAGUCAUGUCCGACUCUGGACCCCACAGACUGCAGCCCGCCAGGCUCCUCUGUCUCCAGGAUUUUUCAGGUCUGAAGGUCACAAGUCAAAUCAGUUUCACUGGGUAGAGGCAAGGCGUUGUCAAGGCUGUCCGCUCGGAGCCCUCUCUCACCUCAAGGCACGUGACAUUCGCCAUCAUCACGAUCUAGGGACGAGAGCCACAGAAGAGUGCCUACGGCAGCUUCCCAGCCAUGGCAGCACCCCCUCUUGGGGCCCUGGAAGAAAUCCCUUCCUGGGACUUUCUAGUGGUCCAGUCGAACGCACAGGGUCAGGUUCAACCCCUGGGUGGGGAGCUGAGAUCCUGCA